UUCUUCUGCACUUGGACGCCGUACUUCAUCUGUGCCACAUAAAAACAGAGCCAACAGAGCAGUGACCAACUAGGCAAACGGGUGAGAAGCUGCAUAAUUGAGCAACAAAAAUGGAGUUUAAAAGAAGAGAGCAGCAUGCAGGUGACCACAGACGUGCUGCUGCAGUGUGUCUGGGGCUGCUGUUUCUUCUCCUCCUGGUGACUCCUGGUGGUGAGCUG